GCCCGGCUAGCUCAAUUGGUAGAGCAUGAGACUCUUAAUCUCAGGGUCAUGGGUUGGGUG
rnacentral:tRNA from 1 species